GAAACAACACAUUAUCUCGUCAAACAGGGAGAGACUACCCAGAAAUGUCCAGUAAGAAAUGUUAUUUUUCCAAUUUCCGUUGCAAAGCAUUUUGCUACAGUGCACUAAUGAAUAUGACCUAGUUGUCCUUUUGUAAAAAUGGGUCCCUCGUCUUCAAUGGGACUUCCUGGUUAAGUAGUGAGUCCAGUACCUGUGUGUGGAAGGCUAGAGGCUCUAACAGGUCAGUGUGUUGGGUGAGUCCAGUACCUGUGUGUGGAAGGCUAGAGGCUCUAACAGGUCAGUGUGUUGGGUGAGUCCAGUACCUGUGUGUGGAAGGCUAGAGGCUCUAACAGGUCAGUGUGUUGGGUGAGUCCAGUACCUGUGUGUGGAAGGUUAGAGGCUCUAACAGGUCAGUGUGUUGGGUGAGUCCAGUACCUGUGUGUGGAAGGUUAGAGGCUCUAACAGGUCAGUGUGUUGGGUGAGUCCAGUACCUGUGUGUGGAAGGUUAGAGGCUCUAACAGGUCAGUGUGUUGGGUGAGUCCAGUACCUGUGUGUGGAAGGCUAGAGGCUCUAACAGGUCAGUGUGUUGGGUGAGUCCAGUACCUGUGUGUGGAAGGUUAGAGGCUCUAACAGGUCAGUGUGUUGGGUGAGUCCAGUACCUGUGUGUGGAAGGCUAGAGGCUCUAACAGGUCAGUGUGUUGAGUGAGUCCAGUACCUGUGUGUGGAAGAUUAGAGGCUCUAACAGGUCAGUGUGUUGGGUGAGUCCAGUACCUGUGUGUGGAAGGCUAGAGGCUCUAACAGGUCAGUGUGUUGGGUGAGUCCAGUACCUGUGUGUGGAAGGCUAGAGGCUCUAACAGGUCAGUGUGUUGGGUGAGUCCAGUACCUGUGUGUGGAAGGCUAGAGGCUCUAACAGGUCAGUGUGUUGAGUGAGUCCAGUACCUGUGUGUGGAAGAUUAGAGGCUCUAACAGGUCAGUGUGUUGGGUGAGUCCAGUACCUGUGUGUGGAAGGCUAGAGGCUCUAACAGGUCAGUGUGUUGGGUGAGUCCAGUACCUGUGUGUGGAAGGCUAGAGGCUCUAAC